rnacentral:rRNA from 1 species
AACGAACGCUGGCGGCAUGCCUAACACAUGCAAGUCGAACGAGACCUUCGGGUCUAGUGGCGCACGGGUGCGUAACGCGUGGGAACCUGCCUUUAGGUCCGGAAUAACUCCCCGAAAGGGGUGCUAAUACCGGAUAAUGUCUUCGGACCAAAGAUUGAUCGCCUUUGGAUGGGCCCGAGUUGGAUUACUUAGUUGUUAGGGUAAAAGCCUAUAAAGGCGACGAUCCAUAGCUGGGUUGAGAGGAAGGUCAGCCACACUGGGAGUGAGACACGGCCCAGACUCCUGCGGGAGGCAGCAGUGGGGAAUAUUGGACAGUGGGCGGAAGCAUGAUCGUGCAAUGCCGCGUGAGUGAUGAAGGCCUGAGGGUUGUAAAGCUCGUUUACCCGGGAUGAUAAUGACAUUACCAAGAGAAUAAGCUCCGGCUAACUCCGUG